UGGACACAAAAGAAUUUUUUGAAGGAAGUUUUGAACCGAUGGGGCUUUCCUUAUUUACUGGAUUUUUUUUUGACGGAGGAGUACACAGUUCAAUCUUUUAAGUGUCUACACUACGAAGAAUUGAAAAAUUUUCUCCCAAAGAGUGGACUAUGACAACUUUUCUGGAGCGCGUUUCAAAAAGAAUUUGGUAAUUUAGAGAUGAUAUUCAGUGUUCUUACGUAUUUGUGAAUGACGUGCUUUAUAUAUUGGAUAGGCCAUUAGCCGCCAUUGACUUUUGUUUCAAAAUAAUACAUGCAGUAAAUGUAGAAUAUCAGCAGGACUGUGAAAUUAUUUGGAUGUUUUUGCAGAAGUUUGUGUACGAAAUAUCCACGAAAUAUGAUAAAACAUGCAUCAGACUUAAUUCAUUGAUGUUUAACUUGGCUGCGUAAGACAACAACUAUUUUUUUUCCUCUUGGCAGUAUGAUUUACAAAUAAUUUUUUGAUACAAAAUUUGAUUGGUUGUUUAGCAUAUUGUUCAAUUAUUUGUAUUUAAACUUAUUACUAGUUAAACUAAUUCAAAAUAUAUCAGUAUUAUUUAAGCUUUACCAAAAAAAAUUUUUCAUCAAACUUUUUAAUAAUAUUAACAAGAAUAUUAAUUUGAACUUA